UAAAAAAAAAAAAAAACAAAAAUAUUAUAUAAUACAAUAAACCCCACAGACAAGGAAAAUCAAACUUCAUGUAUGCUCCUAUAGAGUUUAAACAGUACCUCAGUCAAGAGAUACACAUAAAUCUAGGACCUAAAUGAACUUGGGAAAUUGUGUUGACAACAAUUACUCAAAUAUUAUCAAGGCAAUAAGAUAAUUCAGUUAGGGCAGAUCAUCGUCGGUUUGGUUCUGAACCCAAAUCGAAACCAACUAACCGAAUUACCAAAUUUCUUGAAAAAUAGAAACCAAACAGAACUGUAUAAAAAAUAUAGCCAAAUCGAUUCAAACCGAAAUAUUUCAUUUUGGUUUGGUUCAUCAGUUUCGUUUCAGCAGAUCUGGGACUACUCUGAGCAAAGCCUAUCAGUUCAGGGACUUUUUCUCAAAGCAAAACCCAAAUCCAUGAAAACUCAACAAGGAAUCAACAAUCAAAUCCAUUCAAUGAUAAAUGAAAUUGAAAGACAAAUUAAGAAACAAAAAAUACAGACUGAAAUUAGGAUGAGAAAUGAAAUCAAACACAACCAAAGUCACAAACUGUCCACUGUACCCAGAACCAAAAACAUCAACUGAGAUGAGAAACGGUGAGGCUGUGAGUUGGUUUGCGAUAUUGAUUGCGGCCUGCAUUGCAUGAUUGCGUCUGCUGGGUCCAGCUCCUCGAGAGGAGAUUAGUGACAUGCAAGCAGGAGGCUAGGAGCAGCAUGGGUUUCUGGGUUAAGGUUUCAGUACAACUAUAUAUACAUAAUAAUUUGAGGGAGAACCAGAUGCCAGAUGGGGAGACGAGUUGAGUCUGUGGGGAAGAAGAAAAAGAAGAAUGCGAGGAAGGGUAAAUUGUGAUAGUGAGCACUGAACUGAGUGAAAAUCAGAGAAAGAAGAAGAAGAAAGGAGGUAAUAGGAAAGCUGGUUUUUCCGUUUUGGCUCUUUGCAUGAUGAGAGCUAUUUAGCACGGAAAUAAAAAUGCCAACACAGGAAAACGCACAAAUAGACAUGGGAAACGGCAUUUUCAAAAACGUAGGAAACAGAAAUGUGAAAGAAAUGCGUAAAUAUAAAAAAUAUAACGGUAUAUUUAUAAAUAUAAAAUAUAUUUA
rnacentral:misc_RNA from 1 species